rnacentral:lncRNA from 1 species
GGUUGCUUAUGCAAGGGGAAGGUUUAGUACCCCUCACAUCUAUAACUCCAUAGGAACCACUUGCAAAUAUGUGUUUAUGAAAAUUUGGGUUAUUUGUUGAUUGGUUUUUAAUUUGAAAAGAUAUUUUGUCCUAUUCGAGUGGAAAAACUUAGCUUACUACCCACAAGUAUGAGGAGAUGAGCAUUUGCAUCAUCUUGAUAUGGAGAACUUUUAC